GUAUAAAUGGCUCAGUCGGUAGAACAUGAGACUCUCAAUCUCAGGGUCGUGGGUUCGAGCCCCACCUUGGGCA